rnacentral:rRNA from 1 species
ACGCGAGCUGGGUUCAGAACGUCGUGAGACAGUUCGGUCCCUAUCCGUCGCAGGCGUAGGAAAUUUGAGAAGACCUGUCCUUAGUACGAGAGGACCGGGAUGGACGUACCUCUGGUGUACCAGUUGUCCUGCCAAGGGCAUGGCUGGGUAGCUAUGUACGGAAUGGAUAAGCGCUGAAAGCAUCUAAGCGCGAAGCCAACUUCAAGAUAAGAUUGCCCACCGCAAGGGUAAGACCCCAGAAAGACUAUCUGGUUGAUAGGUCGAAGGUGUAAGUGCAGCAAUGUAUUUAGCUUAUCGAUACUAAUAGGUCGAGGACUUGACCAAU